rnacentral:rRNA from 1 species
GACGAACGCUGGCGGCGUGCUUAACACAUGCAAGUCGAACGGUGAUCUUGAGAGCUUGCUCUUGGGUGAUCAGUGGCGAACGGGUGAGUAACACGUGAGUAACCUGCCCCUGACUCUGGAAUAACUUCGGGAAACCGAAGCUAAUACCGGAUAUGACACAGAGCCGCAUGGUUUCUGUGUGGAAAGUUUUCGGUUGGGGAUGGACUCGCGGCCUAUCAGCUUGUUGGUGAGGUAAUGGCUCACCAAGGCGACGACGGGUAGCCGGCCUGAGAGGGCGACCGGCCACACUGGGACUGAGACACGGCCCAGACUCCUACGGGAGGCAGCAGUGGGGAAUAUUGCACAAUGGGCGAAAGCCUGAUGCAGCGACGCCGCGUAAGGGAUGAAGGCCUUCGGGUUGUAAACCUCUUUCAGUAGGGAAGAAGCGCAAGUGACGGUACCUACAGAAGAAGCACCGGCUAACUACGUG